rnacentral:rRNA from 1 species
UGCAGUCGACGAUGAUCCCAGCUUGCUGGGGGAUUAGUGGCGAACGGGUGAGUAACACGUGAGUAACCUGCCCUUGACUCUGGGAUAAGCCUGGGAAACUGGGUCUAAUACCGGAUACGACCAUCUGGCGCAUGUCAUGGUGGUGGAAAGCUUUUGUGGUUUUGGAUGGACUCGCGGCCUAUCAGCUUGUUGGUGGGGUAAUGGCCUACCAAGGCGACGACGGGUAGCCGGCCUGAGAGGGUGACCGGCCACACUGGGACUGAGACACGGCCCAGACUCCUACGGGAGGCAGCAGUGGGGAAUAUUGCACAAUGGGCGAAAGCCUGAUGCAGCGACGCCGCGUGAGGGAUGACGGCCUUCGGGUUGUAAACCUCUUUCAGUAGGGAAGAAGCGAAAGUGACGGUACCUGCAGAAGAAGCGCCGGCUAACUACGUGCCAGCAGCCGCGGUAAUACGUAGGGCGCAAGCGUUAUCCGGAAUUAUUGGGCGUAAAGAGCUCGUAGGCGGUUUGUCGCGUCUGCUGUGAAAGACCGGGGCUCAACUCCGGUUCUGCAGUGGGUACGGGCAGACUAGAGUGCAGUAGGGGAGACUGGAAUUCCUGGUGUAGCGGUGAAAUGCGCAGAUAUCAGGAGGAACACCGAUGGCGAAGGCAGGUCUCUGGGCUGUAACUGACGCUGAGGAGCGAAAGCAUGGGGAGCGAACAGGAUUAGAUACCCUGGUAGUCCAUGCCGUAAACGUUGGGCACUAGGUGU